rnacentral:lncRNA from 1 species
CCCCAGUAAAUGAGAUAAUGAGCGAAAGACUGAAGUGGACAGUUCACAAAAGAAGAAAUAUAGUGGUCAAUAGUAUGACUAGAUAGGUGUUAAAUCUUCCUAGUGAUCACACAUGUAAAUCAAAUAUUUUUUUUUAACCUAACAGUUUGGCAGAUCCUGAAAGACGAGUCUGUCCACUCCUGUCGAGGCUAUGUUGAAACUGAUACUCCCAUACGUUUCUGGUGGUAGUAGAGAGAUGACAAGUAGGCACAGAGAGAGAGGAGGAAGCAGGCUCCCUGCCGAGCAGAGAGCCCAAUGCGGGACUCGAUCCCAGAACUCUGAGAUCAUGAUCUGAGCCGAAGGCAGAGGCUUAACCCACUGAGCCACCCAGGAGCCCUCUUGGUAACAUUUUAAUAUCUAGUCCAUUUUAAGAUCUUCCUGAUUGUCCCAAAAAGGCUUUUUUGUGGUUAGUUCAAAUCGGGAUCCAAACCUGGUCUAUAAAUUAAAACCUUACCUUUAAUAGCAAAAUAUUGAAGCAGCCAAAUGGUAUUAUGAAAGAAAACUGAUGAAUUAUGACAGUGUCAUCAACUAGUGGC